UGGUAGAACCCUGCCCUUGUUUGGUUUGGU
rnacentral:piRNA from 1 species